UGGCUGGAUCUGGCAGUCGCACAUGAUAGAGCAGCCUGAGCGUGAGGAAGUGACCCGGUCGCGGUAGGGUGCAAGCCAGGGAGAGCUUUCCUUCCCUGGCUGGAAAGCACCCCAAGGGGGCUGAGAAGCAGACACACACACUGAUACCUCGCCAGCCUGCAGAGCCCAGCUCUCUGGCCCUGGGCAGGGCCAGUGCCAGCAAAGGCGAGGGGCAAAGACCUGGGAAAAGCCUGCUGUACAGCCCAUGCCUGGCCAAGGGGAUCACUGUCACCAACGUUGGCAGCCAUCUCGUGGGAGUGGAGGUUAUUUGCAGGCAAGGGCCGGGUGAGCUGUGCCUCACCAUUCCAGGUGCUUGUCCAAGAGGGACGGGAGAAGGCAGAGGCCAAGGGGGACGCCCUGGGGAGAAGGGGAUGUGGCGACGAUGAGAAGAGCCUCUCCGCCACAGUUAGGAGACAGAAAUUACAAGGAAGGCAGAUCGCCGACCAGGUCAAGCACUAGGACUGGACAAGGUCUCUUUCCCCAGCUCUGGCUUCCAGCCCAAAGAGCCAACAGAAACCAGUGAAAUAGCAGGAGAAGGAGGCUCGGAGAAGUCGUGCUAUGGCCAGCAAAUCCCCAAACCUGAAGAUAAUCCCUAGGAUCCUGAACCUCUCCGGCCAUGGGAACAGGACUACUAAAGUGACGAGGACGCAGCUGAAGACUGCUCUCAAAGUCCUUUCUCGGGGGCCUCCAUGGGGCACCACCUCCUUUUUGUACUCUGUGGUCAGUUUCGGCCACCGCAGUUGAACGUCUUCUGACUGCUACAUACUGUGACAGGGGCAGAAAUAAAGAGCCCCGGGGCGUGUCCAUGGCGGGGGGAGGGGGGUGUCCCUCUCUUGUGGGAGGAAAUGCUACUGAAUUAAUUCAAUCAGAGAUUCAACAAGUAUUUAUGGAUUUAUGGGGCGCCACCUGUGUACCAAGUAUUCCUCUAACCAGAGGGUCCCACGGGGAGCUUAUUUUCUAGUGGCGAGGCAGGCAAUAGAUCAGAAAACAUAAAACCGGUUAAAGGUUGCUGUGACUGCCCUCAGGGAAGCAAGCCAGAUGAUUCGGUACCUACUGCCUAGCGCCCCAGAGAAGUGGCAGGGCAGCACAUAUGAAGUUCAGGGAAGACCGCUCUGAGGACAAGGUCGCUAAGCUGCCAGUCCUGCAAGGCACUGGGGGAACAGCCAGCCCAGCAGAGGGGACUGCGAUUCCCUGGCCCUGUGGCAGAAAAGAAGGGUUCUGGAGGGACAGAAAGGAUGCCCGUGUGGCUGGAGCCCAGUGUGACAGGCGAUAGAGGUAAGGAGCAGAGGAAGGUGCGGUGGGGCCUGGAGCUGUGACAAAGAGUUUGAUCCUUAUUCAGAGAGUGCUCUGGGGAACCAGAGAGAGGAUUGAAGCAGGGGACUGCCAUGAUGUGAUUUCCAUUCAAUGGUUGCUCUCCGGCUGCUCUGUUGGAAAAUAUUGCAAGCGUCAGGGCACAGAGAAGAGCAGGCGGGCCGGUAGGGAGGCAGUUGCAGGAGUCCAGGGGAGAGACUGCUGUGGCUUGGCCCAGACUGGAAGCAUGCAUUUGCGGAAUAGUGUGUGGAUUCACAUAGUAUUUUGGAAAUACAAGAGACUGCACUUGCUGACGGGUUAAAGGCAGUCAGUGAAAAAACUUUGGGGCAGCUGGAGACACAGAAUUAUCGAGACCAGAGGAUACAGAUGGCGUUUAUUAAAGCCAGGAGACUGCGUGGGACCACCUGGAGAGAGUGUGGCCAAGAGAAGAAGGUGCUGGGCUACUCCCUGAGACACUCUGACAGUGAGAAGUUGGGUUGAGGAGCACAAGCCUGAAAAAGAGAUUCAGAAGGACUGAGCAGGGAACAGGCCUUCUCUCCAACCCCCGUGCCCAAACCUCCCUCCUCUCCAAGGCUUUCCAUGUCCAUCCCGCCUCAGGAUCCUCACUCAGGUCCUGCUCUCCGUGCCCCCAGCUGGGCGUGCAUGGCAGUUGCUUUACAGUGGGACAAGGACGACUUUAUGUGCUACCGUUGGGACUUCUCCUUCUGAUCAUUUCUCAGUGGAGCUUAGAAAAGAGAGAGGCUCAGAGACAGAGAUCUUCAAAGAGUGGGGUGGGCAUGACUCCGCUAUUUCAUGUGGCUCACCUCCUUCUUCCUGUCAGGAGGGAGAAACUGGAAGGAGUAGGGAUGCAGUUCAGAGAGCAGGGGACAAAGAGCACAAAAGAAUGGAAGGAGGAGGGGGAUGGGGCACCAGUGGGGAGAGGGACAGAUCAGCUGUAUACACAAAAGGGAAUCAAAACAAAGGAAACAGGGGUCUACUUGAAGAAGCCUGUUCCCAUGACUUGCUCACUGCCACAGGUGUGUGCAUGUGGGCGUGGGGGGAGGGGCAGUGCUUAGGAGCAUAGAGAAUGAAAGCACAACUGUAUUUUGGAGUAGAGAAAUUGUUUCUGUCCAUUCACACUGAAUUCCUCCAAAUAAAGAUAAUUAUGGGUUGCAGGCUGA